GCCUUCGCAGUGUAGUCGUCAGCACGCUAGCCCCGUAUUCGAGAGGUCCAAGGUUCGAAUCCCGGCGAGGGCA
rnacentral:tRNA from 1 species